UACGAAGGGGGCAAGCGUUGUUCGGAAUUACUGGGCGUAAAGGGCGCGUAGGCGGCUUAUCAAGUCAGGCGUGAAAUUCCCGGGCUCAACCUGGGGGCUGCGCUUGAUACUGAUGAGCUUGAAUGCGGGAGAGGAUAGUGGAAUUCCCAGUGUAGAGGUGAAAUUCGUAGAUAUUGGGAAGAACACCGGUGGCGAAGGCGGCGACCUGGUCCGUGACUGACGCUGAGGCGCGAAAGCGUGGGGAGCAAACAGG
rnacentral:rRNA from 1 species